rnacentral:rRNA from 1 species
AAACAAUAUAACCUGCCCACUGGCUAUUUGCUAAAGGGCCGCGGUAUACCUGACCGUGCGAAGGUAGCAUAAUCAAUAGUCUUUUAAUUGGAGGCUGGAAUGAAUGGUUGCACGAGAAGAAAGCUGUCUCUUCUUUAAGAAUUGAAUUUUACUUUUAAGUGAGAAGGCUUAAAUAAGUUGAGGGGACGAUAAGACCCUAUAAAAUUUUAUAAUUUAUUAUUAUUUCAUAAAUUUUUAGUUUAACUUGGGUUAAUUAUAAUAUUAUUGGGUUGGGGCGACUAUUAUAUAAUUUUAAUAACUGUAUUCUAAAUUAAUAAUUCUGUUUAGUUAAUUGAUCCUUUUUUAAAGAUUAAAAGAUUAAGUUACUUUAGGGAUAACAGCGUGAUUUUUUCAAAGAGUCCAUAUCGAUGAAAUUAGUUGCGACCUCGAUGUUGAAUUAAAAUUUCUAUAAAGUGUAGCAGCUUUAUAAGUUGGUCUGUUCGACCAU